rnacentral:lncRNA from 1 species
UAAUGACCUGCGUCAAAUCCUUAGCUGUUUCCAUCACGUCAAGGAAAACCAUGAGUUUGUGUCUGAUCUAUUCCAGCUUAACCAAAAAUGAAAAAGGAUCCUGCACUAAAGCGGCCGGAAAACCAGGGAGCAUCUAAACAAUAACAAAGCUCUCGGAUUCCAACAAAAUGAACAUGCCUCACAGUACAGUAUAAGAACAUAAAUGAAGAGCUAGAUGAAGUCCUUUGCAUUAGCCCGUUUAAGCGCGUAUGGUGUAAAGUGUAAAGUCUCUAAUCUAAAUUGGGAAGUCAGCAAAAUAUAAGAAAGUAGGAGUACUUCUCAAGCGCACACAAUAGAUAAAUCGUUUCCUAUGUAUAUAGUUGCCACAUGCACAGGCUUUGCAAUCAAUUCCAUCCUCAAAUAAAUAUUUAACUGCAAGAAAAAUUGUAUUAAAAAAAGUUAAUCUGAGAAGCACAUAACUAUUGGCGUUCAACAUACAAAGUUCUUUACAAUACACAUAGAACAAAUAAAAUGAAGAGCGCCAAAGCAAACAACUUCGGAGAAAAAGAAACAGAUAUAAGCCAAGUACAGUAGCAGUAAGAUCCGCAACCUGCAACAAAAAAUGAUGACCCUAAGCACAGGGAUUAUUUUUAUUUUAUUUUUUAACACGGAAGCACAAACUGUUUUCCUAAAAAUACACAGUCAAGUUGCCUCGAAUAAAAUAGUGCAGAAUUAAAGGCCUUGCGAAAUCAACCUAUCUUCUGGUGCUGGCGUUCCCUGUUCUCUAUGGGCGAGACGAGGAGAGGCACGACCCGAUCUGGAUAUGCCUAGAGCUAGACAAGCACGCGAUAUGAAUACCUAUAUCACAUCACACAAACGAGACAACAAUAAAAGCUACUCAAUCGACCAAAAAUCCAUCGACCUAAUUCACAAGUAAAAUUCCAAGAUUGCACCAAGAGACGGGGAGAGGCACGACCCGAUCUGGAUAUGCCUGGAGCUAGACAAGCACGCGAUAUGAAUACCUAUAUCACAUCACACAAACGAAACAACAAUAAAAGCUACUCAAUCGACCAAAAAUCCAUCGACCUAAUUCACAAGUAAAAUUCCAAGAUUGCACCAAGAGACACAUGCACUAAGUGCUUGGCUGGAUCUUACUCGCACAAGAACUAAAAGUAGAAGGCAGAUGGCUCAUGGGUGGUUGGAUCUCACCUGCGCUUUUUCCUAUUCAGACGAUGGAUUCAACACAUUCAGCAGAUGCAACAUCUCCUCCUGUGGCCGUGGCAGCAUGUUUUGUUGCCUUCCCAAAUCCCAAGAGAGGUUUCUCCACGUUCAUAUGUAGCAUGAAUCUCCUUCGCGCUGGAGCACAGAUCCGGUUUGAUGGAUCUUAUAUGCUACAGCCUGGAGCAGAAAUCCAUGACCCCGACAACAAAAUCGCCUGGCUGGAGUCCUACACGAUCCAAGAUCCAUCACACUGGCAUGUAGGUAAUCGCA